UGAAGAAACAUAUCUAGAUUGCAUUUGCAACCUUUAUAAUCUAACCUGAAUAUAUAUUUUUGUGUUAUGUUCAGGAGUUGCAGCGCUGUCGAGAUGAUUUAGAGCAGGCACGUUUAAAACUUAAGAAACAGAACGAGGAGCUGCUGAAAAAGGAGGUUGCACUCGGAUCAGUGAUGAGGACCAGUGAAGAAAAAGAACAGCAGAUGAAGGCUGAGAUUGAAAAACUGAAGGACCAGUCAAAGAAGGACAAGGAAGAACUCGCCAAAGUGCUUGAGAAAACACGUCAAGUUAGUAGAUUUUCUCAGUUUCUGUUUUCAGUUUAUUCCAUUAAUUUCCAUGUAUAUUCUGACACCCCUAGUUCUGGAGGAUCGUAGUCCAACACAGUUGAACAGUUGAUUUUACUGCUCAAUCACAUUUCCUAAACUAGUUUACAAAUUCUAACAGUUAACAGAUGAGUAAAAUCAGUUCUGUAUUGGAGUAGAUAAAUUGCUAAAUUGUGCUAAACUGUGCUGGAUAUUGGUCCACUUGUUUGCUUUAAAUCAAACGUAUUCUUCUUUUCGCAGUCUCCAGAUCUGCCUCAGGAUGCUGCUGCCACCAAAGAGAAUUCUCUUGAACUUCAAGAGGCCAACACUCGCCUCAGAGAAAGACUGGCCCGCAUGUCACGGCUGCACUCCAGUGUUCCAGAUAGCGGUGGAUCAGAAGCUCUCGAGGAAGAGAACCGGAGUCUGCGCUCACAGUUGGAAGAAGCCCGGCGUGGACUGUCUCGACUCGGGCAGGAGAAAGAGGAGCUCAGCCGGCGGCUGGAGGAGAGAGAGAGGGAGAGAGAGUCCCUGCGCCGGGGUAAGACUGACCUAGAGGAGCAGAAGAGACUGCUGGACCGAUCACUGGAGAAGAUGAGUAAAGAGGUAGGAGUGUGGAUAUACAAGUGGCCUUAUAAUGUAAACGGUUUCAGGGAUUGCUUUACUAUUGUUGGUAAUAAAAACUGGGUUUGGACAGUUAUGUUUCUCAUUUUUGCAAAUUCAAUCCUCAACAUGUUACUCUGGCCAUUAAAUCCCAGAGCUAAAUCAGAGCUUAAUUUAUUUUGUGUAGAUGAAAUGAUGUGGUUAUGAAUGUGGAAAGUUUUUUUUUUUUUUUUUGUCUAUAAAACAUACAUAUAACAUACACAAACUUUUCUGCAGUGAAGAGUUAACUAAGGGUGCUUUCACACCUGCCUCGUUUGGUCUGGACUUCUGGACUUUUCAGUUUGGUCCGAACCAAAGUAGCAGGCGUGAAAGGGGCCGCGAACCACGGUCCGGACCAAAGGACCAGAUUUUGGUCCGACCAAGAGAGGUGGUCUCGGUCCGGAUCUUCUGAACCAU
rnacentral:lncRNA from 1 species